rnacentral:rRNA from 1 species
AUUGAACGCUGGCGGCAGGCCUAACACAUGCAAGUCGAGCGAGCGGCGGGUGGGUGAGUAAUGUAUGGGGUCUGCCCGAUAGAGGGGGCGAACUACUGGAAACGGUAGCUAAUACAGCAUACUAUCGGAUAACCCAUAUGGGAUUAGCUAGUAGGUGAGGUAAUGGCUCACCUAGGCGACGAUCCCUAGCUGGUCUGAGAGGAUGAUCAGCCACACUGGGACUGCGACACGGCCCAGACUCCUACGGAGGCAUCAGUGGGUAAUAUUGCACAAUGGGCGCAAGCCUGAUGCAGCCAUGCCGCGUGUAUGAAGAAGGCCCUAGGGUUGUAAAGUACUUUCAGUCGGGAGGCGUUACCGACAGAAGAAGCACCGGCUAACUCCGUGCCAGCAGCCGCGGUAAUAC